rnacentral:rRNA from 1 species
UAAUAGCUCACUAGUCGAGUCGGCCUGCGCGGAAGAUGUAACGGGGCUAAAACUAUGUGCCGAAGCUGCGGAUUUGACUUUUAGUCAAGUGGUAGGGGAGCGUUCUGUAAGCCGAUGAAGGUGUAUUGAGAAGUAUGCUGGAGGUAUCAGAAGUGCGAAUGCUGACGUGAGUAACGACAAUGCGAGUGAAAAACUCGCACGCUGAAAGACCAAGGGUUCCAGUCCAACGUUAAUCGGGGCUGGGUGAGUCGACCCCUAAGGCGAGGCCGAGAGGCGUAGUCGAUGGGAAAUUGGUUAAUAUUCCAAUACUUCUGUGUAAUGCGAUGAGAGGACGGAGAAGGUUAAGUCAGCCUGGCGUUGGUUGUCCAGGUGGAAGGCUGUAGGCAUGCAUCUUAGGCAAAUCCGGGGUGCUCUAUGCUGAGAGCUGAUAGCAAGCUGUACUUGUACAGUGAAGUGGCUGAUACCAUGCUUCCAGGAAAAGUCUCUAAGCUUCAGUUACACAGGAAUCGUACCCUAAACCGACACAGGUGGUCAGGUCGAGUAGACCAAAGCGCUUGAGAGAACUCUGCUGAAGGAACUAGGCAAAAUGGUACCGUAACUUCGGGAGAAGGUACGCUGCUGACGGUGAUUUCCCUUGCGGAAUGAGCUAUUGGCAGCCACAGAAACCAGGCCGCUGCAACUGUUUAUUAAAAACAUAGCACUCUGCAAACACGAAAGUGGACGUAUAGGGUGUGAUGCCUGCCCGGUGCUGGAAGGUUAAUUGAUGGGGUUAGCGUAAGCGAAGCUCUUGAUCGAAGCCCCAGUAAACGGCGGCCGUAACUAUAACGGUCCUAAGGUAGCGAAAUUCCUUGUCGGGUAAGUUCCGACCUGCACGAAUGGCAUAAUGAUGGCGGCGCUGUCUCCAGCAGAGGCUCAGUGAAAUCGAAUUCGCCGUGAAGAUGCGGUGUACCCGCGGCUAGACGGAAAGACCCCGUGAACCUUUACUGCAGCUUGACAUUGAACUUUGACCUUACUUGUGUAGGAUAGGUGGGAGGCUUUGAAGUUGGAACGCUAGUUCCAAUGGAGCCGUCCUUGAAAUACCACCCUGGUAAUGUUGAGGUUCUAACUCUGCCCCGUAAUCCGGGGCGAGGACCAUGUCUGGUGGGUAGUUUGACUGGGGCGGUCUCCUCCUAAAGAGUAACGGAGGAGUACGAAGGUGCGCUCAGCGUGGUCGGAAAUCACGCGUAGAGUAUAAAGGCAAAAGCGCGCUUAACUGCGAGACCGACAAGUCGAGCAGGUACGAAAGUAGGUCUUAGUGAUCCGGUGGUUCUGUAUGGAAGGGCCAUCGCUCAACGGAUAAAAGGUACUCUGGGGAUAACAGGCUGAUACCGCCCAAGAGUUCAUAUCGACGGCGGUGUUUGGCACCUCGAUGUCGGCUCAUCUCAUCCUGGGGCUGAAGCAGGUCCCAAGGGUAUGGCUGUUCGCCAUUUAAAGAGGUACGCGAGCUGGGUUUAGAACGUCGUGAGACAGUUCGGUCCCUAUCUACCGUGGGCGUUGGAGACUUGAGAGGAUCUGCUUCUAGUACGAGAGGACCGAAGUGGACGAACCUCUGGUGUUCCGGUUGUCACGCCAGUGGCACUGCCGGGUAGCUAUGUUCGGAAGGGAUAACCGCUGAAAGCAUCUAAGCGGGAAGCCUACCUCAAGAUAAGAUUUCCCUAGGA